GACGAACGCUGGCGGCGUGCUUAACACAUGCAAGUCGAACGGAAAGGCCCUGCUUUUUUGGGGUUCUCGAUUGGCGAACGGGUGAGUAACACGUGAGUAACCUUCCCUUUACUUUGGGAUAACUUCAGGAAACUGGUGCUAAUACCUGAUAUGAUCUCCUGCUGCAUGGUGUGGGUUGGAAAGUUUCGGCGGUUGGGGAUGGACUCGCGGCUUAUCAGCUUGUUUGUGGUGUAGUGGCUUACCAAGGCUUUGACGGGUAGCCGGCAUGAGAGGGUUAACGGGAACAGUGGGACUGAGAUACGGACAAGACGGCUACGGGAGGCAGCAGUGGGGAAUAUUGCAAAAUGGGCGGAAGCCUGAUGCAGAAACGCCGCGUGCGGGAUGACGGCCUUCGGGUUGUAAACCGAUUUCACCUGUGACGAAGAGUGAGUGACGGUAAUGGGUAAAGAAGCAACGGCUAACUACGUG
rnacentral:rRNA from 1 species